CACCUGCAAGGGACUGGGUUAGGAUCAUUGUGUUCCCCAGUUCACCUCAGUGAAUUGCAGAGAUAGGUUUGUAGGUGCUUCCAGAAAAGCUUUUCCAGGAGAACUUCCAGAAGAGAUUCACGCUCCCUCUGGACAUGAUUAAGCUUGGAUAUGAGGAGAACAUCAUAAAAAACAGCGCAGAGCUUCCCAUUUGACGAACACUUAGAGAUUCCGGGAGAAUGACAUGCUCAGAGAGCAUGGAAGCUCCGUGCCCCUUCCCAGGUGCCGUGUGAAGACUUCAGUGAAGGAAAGAAAGAAAGAAGGAAAGGAAAAAAGAAGGUUCAGAUGGAAACUAAUACAAGGGGACGUGAUAUUGUGCAAGCCACUGCUUCAAGCUGGGCCUUGAGGAGACACAGCUAGUCACAGUGUAGGAGUGUUGUCACAGUUACUUUACACUGGACAAACUCUACAGAGAAACUGCCUCAGAGCAGUUUGGGAGGAAAUUCUCUCCUUUCUCUUUCUGUCUGUCUCUCUCUUUUUAGAUGUUUUAGGAUUUUAAUGUCCUCCACAUAUUCAACAUAAAACACUGACAGUGGAUAAACAAUAAGGGAAAAGAAUCUUUAGCAAAGAUCUUCCAGAACUUAUAGUAUCAUUCUGAAGGUCAAACACUAUAAAGAGAACCAUCAAAUGAACAAAGGAUAAGGAAGUUUGACAGAGAAUUUUAGUUCAACGGCUUAACUAAAAAAGAACCAAACAUACAGCCUUCUCUCUUCUAUCAGUUGGAAGAAAGCAAAAGUGAAUCAGAGAACUGUAUCUUUUUUGUGAAGCAGCUUAAAAGGUGGGGUGGGAAAGGGUGGGAUGGGGACCACAACUGUUGCUAAUGUAAUGUUAUAAUGCACAAAGUCAAGGAUUCUGAGAACUGUAUUACUAGAAAUAUAAAUGCAUAAAAAUGUAAACUAAUUGGUAUUGAAAACAGACCUUGCUAUAUACACGUAUGUCUCUUUUAUCUCUUUAUGAAAAUAACAGGGUAAAGAAAGUUCCCCAGUUUGCCCUUUAGCCUGGAACUCCUAAACACACACCACACAGGCAGUGUGGACCUGAAUUAACAGGUGCAGAACCCAGGAGCCCCCACUGCUAUCAUUUUGGAAAGGAUCAAAAUUCAGCACCCAGAGGACCCCAUUCACCCUCCAUGCUGUGUGUUUGUGUAUCUCCAAAAGCAAUUAGCUACAAUUUGCAUAAUUAAGUUCACAGACAAGUUUGAAUACUGAAAUCUAGCUAGGAAAAAAUAGCAACAAAGACAUUAAAAAAAAAAAAGUAAAGACAACAUAAGCUAGAAUUUGUUAGAAAAGCAAAAGGAAGAUUUUUAAAAUCCAGUUGAAGUCAGAAUUAAGGUGUCUUUUGGGGGGGCGCCUGGGUGGCACAGCGGUUAGGCGUCUGCCUUCGGCUCAGGGCGUGAUCCCGGCAUUGUGGGAUCGAGCCCCACAUCAGGCUCCUCUGCUGUGAGCCUGCC